rnacentral:misc_RNA from 1 species
CAACCCUCAAGCUCUGCUUGGUAUUGGGCCUCGUCUAUUACUGACGGGCCUUAAAAUCAGUGGCGGUGCCAUUAGGCUCUAAGCGUAGUAAUUUUUCUCGCUAUGGAUGUCUAUUGGAUACUUGCCAGUAACCCCAAAUUUUAAAGG